rnacentral:rRNA from 1 species
UACAGAGGUCCCGAGCGUUGUUCGGAUUCACUGGGCGUAAAGGGUGCGCAGGUGGCCUGUCAAGUUUGAUGUGAAAGCCCCGGGCUUAACCCGGGAAUGGCAUUGAAUACUGAUGGGCUGGAGGAUUGGAGGGGGGACUGGAAUUCUUGGUGUAGCAGUGAAAUGCGUAGAGAUGUGGAGGAACACCGAUGGCGAAGGCAGCCCCCUGGGUCAAGAUUGACGCUCAUGCACGAAAGCGUGGGGAGCAAACAGG